UGGAAAAUUGGAAGAAUCGGAUUCCAAUUCCAUCGUGGCAGAAUCGGAUUCCAUCACACCGAAGGAAUCCCAUUUUGUGCUUCCCUCUCCAUUUUGCACCUUCUAUUUUACCUCAUCCUCCACUCCACCGACCAGUCCAGCAUCGACUUCACAAGUCACCAUCGCUGGUGACAGCCCACCUCCUUCUUCUAGAUCUCUACGACCACCACCCACCGAGGAGGACGAAGCUUUAUAUUUGUCGCGCUUCUCACCUCCGUCACUGGUUCGGCAAAUAUAAUUAAGGUUGUUCACCGUUGAGCUUCUUCUAGGGUUUCUGUUCUGUUUUCCUCCUUGAUCUGGCUGCACCCAUUCCCCCCCUCUCGUUUCCGUGAUCUCGUUGUGAUUUUCAGAUCAGCUACUGCAGAUGAUUUAUGUUGAUAGGUGUUGCAAUUUCCUUUUGGAUUGUUCUUUUUAUUUUAAGUGCCCUUGAAAUGUGUUUGAUGAAAUGGCUUGGAUGUUCAGGCAAAACGAUAUUUAUCAGUUGAUGGAGUUAACUCUCGGGGUAGAUGACGCAGCUUUCUGGGUUUACAGAGGCGAAGGAGCUGAAAAUCUUGUUCUAGCUUACACUGGAUUUUCUCCUGCUUUUAUUGGGAAAGUGAUGCGUAUAAGUAAGGCCCCAAAGAGUGGCUCACAGGUGGUAAACAGUCCUGCGGCUUUGACUGAACAUGAACGUCUCCUGUGGAAAGAUAUAGACGAACUUGUAUCUUCAAGCAAAGAAGCUGUAGGGAAGCUAUUUGUCCAGCACGUUAUGAAGCCAUUAUUAGGGCCCCAAUACGUUGAUGCUGGGAUGAAUGUCCUAGUGUCCAGAGAAUUCCUUGGAACUGUUGAGAAGAAUUUCACAUGUCAGCGUCCAGCUUUUCGAGUUGACACUGCCCAAAUAGAUAUGCAUUCUGAUUCUGUGCUUCUCAUGUCUGAUCAUUCACUCUUCCCUCAUGGGAGCUGGCAAGUGGGAGAACCUGGGACAAACAUUAUUAUAGACAAGAAUUCUAGGGAGGUUAAUUAUAACUCCAAGGAAUCCACAAUUUUCUCCCCGGUGGGUGGGCCUUUCAUUUUAGACACAAUCCAUGGUAGCCUAGAAGCUAGCCCUUGCAUAUCUGUUGAAAUAAAGCCCAAAUGUGGAUUCCUUCCUCUUUCGAGAUUCAUAUCAGAUGAAACAGCUAUCAAAAAGAGUGUAACUCGAUUCAAAAUGCACCAAUCCCUUAAAUUACAUCAAGGAGCGAUAUCAGAGCUAAGUCAAUAUAAUCCUCUUGAUUUGUUCUCUGGGUCCAAGGAAAGGAUUGAAAAAGCUAUCAAGGAUCUCUUUACUACCCCUCAAAAUAAUUUUCGUGUAUUUUUGAAUGGCUCUCUCAUAUUUGGAGGCCUAGGAGGUGGUGCACCGACAACAAACUUUCUAGUUGCAAAAACAUUUGAAGAUGCACUAAAAACUGUGAUUGAAGCAGAAGAUGGUCUAUACACUGAGAAGUUUUUAUAUCUAGUUGCUGAGAGCGUGCACAAAUCAGGUGUCCUUGAUCAGCUCCUGAAGAUUCAGAAACUUGAUAAUCUUGACAUAGAGGGGGCGAUCCAUGCAUAUUAUAAUGUCACUUCUCAACAAUGCAUGGUAUGUAGGGAAUUGAGUGAACAACAGUUAAACAGAUAUGCCUCUUUGCAUUCUGCUUCCCUGGAGGAAAGCUUGAGAACUGUAAAGAACUACCUGAUUGCUACAACUGCAAAGGACUGCAGUUUAAUUAUUUGUUUUAGACCAAGGAAAGAGAGGUAUUCAGGAUCUGUAUACAAUCAAGUACAUGUUGAGUCAACUAAGCAAACUUUUGAUUUCAAGGUAUCUUUUAUUGACCUGGAUUUGAAGCCUUUGGAUAAAAUGGAAUAUUAUUACAAAUUAGACAAGAAGAUUGUGAGCUUCUACAGACAAAUGGUUGAAAUGAAUCAAGGAAAAGCAAACUUUGCAGACACGUGAAACUCCAAAUUGAGAUUCUUUAGGCUGUUAUAGAUGACACCUGAUGAAGAUUGUAUUGGAUGACGAGCAGUUUUUGGUGACAGUUUUUGUUAAAUAAAUAUUUUUCUUCAGGGGCGAGAUUUGAGAAUUUAUUAAAUUACAAUCACAAUUACCAUUCUUGCUCCAACAAUAAUCGAGAUUGCAUGGGAAAUCCGGUCAUAAAUACUAACGUGCAUUAAUGACCAGAAGACGGUGGUGUCAGUAGAACUUAUCUGUUCAAGAUGCAGGCAGAAGGUGAUGAAAUUAAUUGCAGCCAUUGAAGGAGUUACUUCGAUAGUGCUGGAUCCGGCCAAAAACACAGUGACAGUGAUUGGGGAAGCUGAUCCCGUGAGGAUCAUCAAGAAUGUGAGAAAAUUCAGGAAAUCAGCCGCAAUCGUGAGCAUUGGUCCUUCCAAAGAAGAGAAGAAGGAAGAAAAGAAAGAGGAGAAAAAGGGCACCACCGAGGCUCCGAAACCGUGCCACAGAUGCAGUGUAUGGUAUGUGAUUCCUGAAGAUAAUUAUAGUUACUGUUCCAUCAUGUGAUUGCUCUUACUGAGGUGCUGGUGGUGCGAUUAUUAAAUUUUCUAAACAAGAUCGAAUUCGUUGAAUUUUUUGUUUUUGUUUUUGUGUCAAUUUAAUAUUAUGGACUAAUUGAUUCAAAUUAAA